AUGGUGGAGAUAGACGAGGAGAAGAUGCAGAGGUUUGCAGGUAGGGACACGCGCCUGCAAGCCCGUCUGAGAGAGAUUGAAUUGUGGUACACAAGAAAGCGAGAGAUGUAUGCGGAGGCGGAUGCGAUUUUCGAGGGACUGACGGCGGCGGAGGAGAGAUCGCUCUUCGGACCCGGCGAGCGCAAGCAUCCGCUGCAGGUUCUGUUGUGGGCGAUGGAUCAGGCGGAUUCGCCGGUGAGAUCCGUGGCAAGGAAGUGGGUGGCCUUCACCUCCUUCGAGACCGUGGAUCUCGCCCCGGCCAUGAAGGAAUCGGCGCUCAGAUCCCGCGAGGGGGUCUUGGCCCUCCCUGCUCCAGGGUCGGCCAUGGCUCCGAUCGUGCUCCACGAGGACCCGGUGGAAGAGCCACCACAGGAGGUGGCGAGGAUGCCGCGCCGCUCCGCUCGACUCGCUCCGGCUCCUCCAACUCCGACGCCUCGCCGCUCAGCACGCCUCGCCGGAAUUGAUGCCUGA
rnacentral:rRNA from 1 species